rnacentral:tRNA from 1 species
AGCUAUAGGAAACAGCGACAGCCUUUUAAGCUGUAGACAGGUGGUUUCCACCCACCCUCAUCGA